CCUCAUGCCUCCAGCCUUCUUUUUCUCUUUCUUUUUCCUCCCAUUGCUUUCACGCCUACUAGAACCUUCCCUAUCUACCAAUGACUCGUUCUCAUUAUAAAUCUUCAAAUUCAAUUUCUACUUCAAAUCUAUCACAAAUCCUUCCCAGCUUUCUUUCAAAUUCAUCCUUACUUUCUCUCAAAUCACAUAAAUCCAAAUCUUCCCCUCAAUUGCUUCUAUAAACCUCAUUAAUCCUUAUAAUCCCUCAGCCACAACUUAUUAUAUUGGAAUCAGAUACAACAUCUUCGUCAGCCUCAAUUCUGCUUGACACAGUCACUGCCAACCUUAAAUGAAAGGAAUUUCAAAAAAAAAAUGAUAAGGGCCUUGAUCACUAUGACUUUUUUGGGAAAACUUUUCAACACAAGCACUGCAACUAGAUUCCUUCAAAUUUUAUCAGCCCAACCAGCCCCAAAUAGUGAUGAAGAACGAGAGCUAGAUGAGGGAUUUUGUAUCUGCUGGAGUACAUGCGCAGUUGGAUGUUGAUAGUAGAGAUGACAUAGAGGAGCUGCCCACACCAGUUGAGAAGCAAAACAAGCAUGCUGACAAGCAUGUAGCCUACCCAGAGCAGUCCAAGGGAAAGAAGAAGAAAAGAGAGACUCUCAGUGAGAUGACUAAGGCUAUCAAAGGCUUCAUGGAAAUGUCAAAAGGCAAGACUCCUAGCUAAUGAGAGUCGAAAGCAAACAUUUGUGAACACCGGUGAGUCUUUUGUGGGGGAUGAUAGGUUUCUCACUAACAAACUUGUUGAAGUGCUCAACUUAUAUGAUCACUUAGAUAAUUUGACUCACUACAAGGUCUAAAGGAACUCUUUAAUACCGAGGCAAGGCUCCUGGCUAAUGAGAGUCGAAAGCAAACAACAUUUGUAAACACCGGUGAGUCUUUUGUGGGGAAUGAUAGGUUUUCCAUUGACAAAGCUGUUGAAGUGCUCAACUCAUAUGAUCACUUAGAUAAUUUCACCCACUACAAGGUUCUAAAGGAACUCUUUAAUACCAAGUCUAGGACUGUUUUUAUUUCCAUAAAUCCGAAAAGGAGAAGAUCUUGGAUGGAGUUGAUUGGGAAUGGAUACUAGGCAGGAAUGCUUGUGUUGAAAUAGUGGCAUUAAAUUGGGUUUGUUUGUGUUGAGUUUGCUUUGUUUUGUUAUUAUGUAUCGGGUUUGUUUGGUACUGUGCCACAUGUUUUGGAUACAAUGGUAUUGGUUAUGUUUUUAGUGCGUGGCAAAAUAUGUUUUUAUGUUGUAAUGAACUAAGUGCUUUUGGGGAUUUAUAUAUGGUAUGCACUCUUUAUAUA